AUGAGAAGGUGGAAGUAUGCACACCAACAGGAAGAGUCUAAUCAAUUGAGAUGAGCUAUCAUCAGCAGGGGAAAAAAAACUUUUGCAGUGAUAAUUAAGAUGACCCAUAGAAGGUGUGAGGAGAACUUAACAUAGGGAAAUAGAUUCAACUCACCUUAACAGAGACUGGGAAUGGCUGGGUCAUUACACUAAUUGAAUCUAUUUCCCUAUGUUAAGUUCUCCUCACACCUUCUAUGGGUCAUCUUAAUUAUCACUGCAAAUUUUUUUUUCCCCUGCUGAUGAUAGCUCAUCUCAAUUGAUUAGACUCUUCCUGUUGGUGUGCAUACUUCCACCUUCUCAUGUUCUCUGUAUGUAUAAAUAUCUCCUGUCUGUCUGUUCCAUUCUGUGCAUCUGAAGAAGUGGGCUGUAGCUCACGAAAGCUCAUGCUGAAAUAAAUUUGUUACUCUCUAAGGUGCCACAAGUACUCCUGUUCUUUUUGCGGAUACAGACUAACAUGGCUGCUACUCUGAAAUCAAUCAAUCAAUCAAUCUAUCUAUCCCCAGACACCCCAUCCAUCUAUCUAUCCAUCCCCAGACACCCCAUCUAUCUAUCUACACCCCAUCUAUCUAUCGAUCUAUCCAUCCAUCCCCAGACACCCCCUCUAUCUAUCGAUCUAUCUAUCCAUCCCGAGACACUCCCUCUAUCUAUCUAUCUAUCCCCAGCCACCCCCUAUAUCUAUCUAUCCAUCCAUUCUGACACCCCAUCUAUCUAUCCAUCCCGACACUCCAUCUAUCUAUCCAUCCAUCCAUCCAUCCCCAGACAACCCCAUCUAUCUAGCUAUCUAUCUAUCCCCAGACACCCCCUCUAUCGAUCUAUCUAUCCCCAGACACUCUACCUAUCUAUCCAUCCAUCCAUCUCCAGACACUAUCUAUCCAUCCCCAGACACUCCCUCUAUCUAUCUAUCUAAAUUAGCCAAAACCCAACAGUUCUGUCCUAUGGGGAAUUCAGAGAUUUUUGAAAUUUUGUCUAAUCCUAAAUCAGGGCGAAGAGUUGAGAUCUCAGAUGUUGUCACAAACCGACACGUUUGGACCGAUUUUGUUUUGAAUUUAUGGGAAUGUUUUAUUUCCGUAGGGUUGAAAUGUUUCGUUCUGCCAUUCGGCGUCUCUGCGGUAAGGGACAGUCUCAGACACGGUUCUUGAUGGCAUGUUUGGACAAUUUCCCAUCUCAGUUGGGGUGAACGUGAUAUGUCCCCAUGAAAUGUUUUGAUGUCAUCACGUCAGCCUCUCCCAAUGGAGAACUGUUGGACAAUCCCCACCCCGCUCUGCCAUCAGUCCUGCUAGUGAUAUGUGUCCAGCUCCUGGCACGCCGCUUGCCCUCCCUGCCCCCAGGCCAGCUGUCAGAUUCCCCCAGGCAUCUGCCAAGCCAUGUCACAUCUGUCCUGCCACUCUCGGUGGAGAGAGUUGAACCUACUCCAGUGGGGGGUGCCUCCGCAGCACCCCCACCUGGGCAGCAUGAAAUCUGAUUCCCCCUUUAGGGCCGUGUCCCUACAGCGGCCUCUGCCCGGUGCCCGAGUCUGACGCCCACCAGCCUGGCCUGAGCCUCUCGAUCGCCUGAUUUUGUAGAGCAGCCAGAGCCCAGUCCCGCUCCCUUGUGGCCAGGGCCUGACCCGCUCGGAAGCAGUAUUGGAAAACCCAACACUUCCCUGCAUAAGGAAAACGCAACCAGUGGCACCGUCGUGUUGAUUAACCUGGUUGGUUUCAUGGCACUGAGGUGCAGCCCUGGCUAACACUGCCCCCUGCUGGGCACCCCCUGUUUUGGCAGCACAGGGGCAGUUUUGUAUCAAACUGCUGGCAUGCGGGGAGCGCCCCUGCACUGGCCUUUGGAGAAAGGGCUGCGGACCUGUGGCUGGUCGUAUUUUCACUCUGUAUCUGUUGGGUAAAGAGACGACCCAAGAGCAAAUCGCAACUAUGGGAGAGAGAAACCCAAUCAAAGUGCCUUUUGUGUGAUUAAACUGUAAAAUAAUCUUUAAAGGAAAAAAAAAAUAACCGUGAGAACCAA